rnacentral:misc_RNA from 1 species
GAAAUGCGAUAAGUAAUGUGAAUUGCAGAAUUCAGCGAAUCAUCGAAUCUUUGAACGCACAUUGCGCCUCCGGGUAUUCCUGGAGGCAUGCUUGUUCGAGCGUCGUUGACGCACAUGAGGCUUUGCCUUGCGAUGAGUCGUCGGUGUCCCUCGGGACGUCGACCGCUUCAAACCCGUAGGCGUCUGAAGUUGGCCAAAGCACAGCGAAAUGUGUCUGAAGGCGGACGGAGGGCUGCCGGAACACGAAACGAUUUUCUGAGUCGACCUCGGAUCAAGCAAGACUACCCGCUGAACUUAA